ensembl:lncRNA novel transcript
UGCGUCAUUUUUACAUCAUGUUAUUCACGUUUCCUAUAUCCUUAACUUUUCUCUUGCUAGUCUUAACGAUUAGUGAGAAAGUCCUGUUAAAAUUACCCAAUAUGACCAGGCAUUUUUUUUCUUUGUAAUUCUGUCACUUCACUUUGUUUCAUAUGUAUUUUUCAUUAGGUACUUAUAAAUUUUAAAUUUAAAACACAUUUCCUUUUUAGACUCAGAAGUCAUCUAAGACUCUUUCCUUUCAUUCCUUUUAUAUCCCAUCAGUCAUAUUUAAAAGAUAUCUAUAUGUAAACUGACGUCAAUAGACAUGAUGUAAAAGAAGGGGGUGGCUCUGGUAAAGCUAAAGUAACUCCACUAUGAGAGUGCAUUAACUAUGGGGGAAAUACUUUCUAUAUUGCAGAACACAUAUUUGGUGGUACGUAGCCUCACAUCGCCACCCGGAAAAGUCUGCAUAUAUUGAAUUUGGAAUGGAUCAAACUGCACUGAGUGCAAAAUUGUAAAUUGCAUCUUAUAUAAAUGUUUUAGAACUAGAUGAUGGAGCAGAUGGGAUCUAUUAAGAGAACGGGGUGCCAGAUGACUGACCAUAAACAUGCUUUUUAAUAAAGACUCUGCUGAGAGAUUAACUCAUA